UACGUAGGGUGCGAGCGUUGUCCGGAAUUACUGGGCGUAAGGAGCUCGUAGGUGGUUUGUCGCGUUGUUCGUGAAAACUCACAGCUCAACUGUGGGCGUGCGGGCGAUACGGGCAGACUGGAGUACUGCAGGGGAGACUGGAAUUCCUGGUGUAGCGGUGGAAUGCGCAGAUAUCAGGAGGAACACCGGUGGCGAAGGCGGGUCUCUGGGCAGUAACUGACGCUGAGGAGCGAAAGCGUGGGGAGCGAACAGG
rnacentral:rRNA from 1 species